AUUGUGAGUUGGCGCGUGGCUCUCACUCUGGUGUGUGUCCCUACCGGAGAAGAAGAAGAGAAGCUGAAAGAUAAGGAAGCCAAACUCAGCAAAGCAAUUAACAAAGGACUCGUCUUUCCCUCCUACCAAUGGCUACUUCCAUUAACAGCAGUGUUCUUGGGUGGAAAUAUUCCUCAUUUUUCUCACAAUCCAAUGCCUUCAACAUGGUUUCGCCUCCUUUCAAACCAAAACCCCCACUCUCCAAGUUUUCUCCCACUUGCUCUGCCGCCUCCUCUUCCUCUGAUCCACUAUUGGUUAAGGCUGCCAGGGGAGACCCUGUUGGUCGUCCUCCAGCAUGGAUGAUGCGACAGGCAGGAAGGUACAUGGCUGUUUACAGAAAGCUUGCUGAGAAAUAUCCAUCCUUCAGAGAGAGGUCAGAGACAACUGAUCUCAUUGUGGAAAUUUCUUUGCAGCCCUGGAAAGCUUUCAGGCCGGAUGGAGUCAUUAUCUUCUCGGACAUUCUUACACCACUUCCUGCAUUUGGAGUUGAUUUUGACAUAGAAGACAUAAGGGGACCUGUUAUACAUUCCCCCAUUCGUUCUGAAGAGGGAUUGAAAACUUUGCAUCCAAUUGACCUUGACAAACUUAGAUUUGUUGGAGAAUCACUUAAGAUACUGCGCCGAGAGGUUGGUGGUCAUGCAGCUGUUUUGGGUUUUGUGGGAGCUCCUUGGACAAUAGCAACAUACAUUGUGGAAGGGGGUACAACACGCACAUAUACAACCAUUAAGAGCAUGUGCCACACUGCUCCACAUGUAUUGAAGACUUUGCUUUCUCAUUUGACGCAGGCAAUAGCUGAUUAUGUUAUUUUCCAAGUGGAGUCUGGGGCUCACUGCAUACAAAUAUUUGACUCAUGGGGUGGACAACUACCACCUGAUAUGUGGGAACGCUGGUCAAAGCCUUAUAUUAAAGAGAUUGUACAUUUGGUCAAGAAAAAAUGCCCUGAGGUACCAAUUGUUCUUUAUAUAAAUGGAAAUGGUGGCCUUCUGGAGCGUAUGAAAGACACUGGAGUUGAUGUUAUAGGGCUAGACUGGACAGUGGAUAUGGCAGAUGGAAGAAGAAGAUUGGGUAGUGGGAUUGGUGUGCAGGGAAAUGUGGACCCUGCCUACUUAUUCUCCCCUCUUGCUGCCCUGACUGAGGAAAUUCAGAGGGUUGUGAGGUGUGCGGGGCCCAGACGGCACAUCCUUAAUCUAGGGCAUGGUGUUCUUGUUGGCACACCUGAAGAAGCUGUUGCACAUUUCUUUGAAGUAGCUAGGAGCUUGCAGUUUGAUGCACUUUUUCAAAACAAUGCUGCAAAAGACCCUAAUCUAGUAGCAUAAGCACAGUGCCUCAAGUGUUGCUAUUUGUUUUACAUUGUAUUGGAGUUAUUUCAAGAUCUUCUCCAAAUGAAGGGUGUAGGGAGAAUGGAUGAUGGCAUAGUGGAUGGUCACUGCAAAAUGCUAAUCUUUUAGUUGAUAUAUAAAGUGUUCCAAUCACAGGCUUGGAGUCUGUGGAAAGGUAGCAAGCAUAUGGCUGUAAGAGUUUCUCUCCUGGGAAAGCCCCAAAUGUUUGCUGAAAUAACUUUUCAGGACCUCCUGAUGCAAGUACCUUUGUUCCUUGAAUAAGUUUAGCAAUUGCAGCAUCAGCUGGUUUA